GUACGCGCUUGCGCCUUUCUUUGUGGCUGGCUCCGUCGCUUUUCCACCCUUUCCGAGAAACGGGUCGGGCGGGUUCGGGCAGGCGGACACGACGGACAUCCUGUCGACGAGAAGAAUUUCUGGACGGGGUUUUUUCUCUCUCUCUCCCAAACUCAGCGGCGGCAAAAGUUUCUCAGGUCCACGGCGGGCGCCGAGGCAGACGCUUCAGUGCGUUCAUCAGAUAGAUGAACGCCCGCGGUACCGGCUUCCAGACAAACAUGCCCCCUUUUUUUUUUGAACGAGUAUGACGAGGAGAAAACAAGGCGGAUUUGUUCCAGGAAAGACGGAUGCGUCUUGACUGCGUUUCCGUGAAAUUUGAAAAAGGUCGCGAAACAAAUUGCUUCUUCAGGGUGGGCCCGCCCGAGCACAGCAGAUGGACGGAAUCCACACGUGACGCUCUGUUGUUUGACUACCACAUACUAAUGUUUAAUCAUAAUGAAUUCUCCCUGACUUGCCACAUCACUUAAAAAAAAUGCUCAGACAUAUAUAAACGCGAUGCAUUAACUUUCUACUCAUGAGUGCCAUUUGGUUCACAUAUUGGUAACGUAAUGGAUAACUCAUAACUUUAAAUUAUGUUUAUUUAAGUUUAAUCGUAAUCGAUAUCAGAUGGAUAUCGGUUUAUUUAAAUUUGUUACCACAAGUAUUCGAACGUGAAUCAUUAUCAUUAUCAUUUAUGUUAUUUUUUUUGAACUAAACGGCACCCUGGUUAACAUAGAAAGACAGACAAAAAUAAAGAAUACUAGCACACC
rnacentral:lncRNA from 7 species